rnacentral:rRNA from 1 species
GUGUCAGCAGCCGCGGUAAUACGUAGGGUGCGAGCGUUAAUCGGAAUUACUGGGCGUAAAGCGUGCGCAGGCGGUUAUGCAAGACAGAUGUGAAAUCCCCGGGCUCAACCUGGGAACUGCAUUUGUGACUGCAUAGCUAGAGUACGGUAGAGGGGGAUGGAAUUCCGCGUGUAGCAGUGAAAUGCGUAGAUAUGCGGAGGAACACCGAUGGCGAAGGCAAUCCCCUGGACCUGUACUGACGCUCAUGCACGAAAGCGUGGGGAGCAAACAGGAUUAGAUACCCUGGUAGUCCACGCCCUAAACGAUGUCAACUGGUUGUUGGACGGCUUGCUGUUCAGUAACGAAGCUAACGCGUGAAGUUGACCGCCUGGGGAGUACGGCCGCAAGGUUGAAACUUAAAGGAAUUGACGGGG